rnacentral:rRNA from 1 species
AGCGAACGCUGGCGGCAGGCCUAACACAUGCAAGUCGAACGGGCUCUUCGGAGCUAGUGGCGGACGGGUGAGUAAUGCCUAGGAAUCUGCCUGGUAGUGGGGGACAACGUUUCGAAAGGAACGCUAAUACCGCAUACGUCCUACGGGAGAAAGCAGGGGACCUUCGGGCCUUGCGCUAUCAGAUGAGCCUAGGUCGGAUUAGCUAGUAGGUGAGGUAAUGGAUCACCUAGGCGACGAUCCGGAACUGGUCUGAGCGGAUGAUCAGUCACACUGGAACGGAGACACGGUCCAGACGCCUACGGGAGGCAGCAGUGGGGAAUAUUGGACAAUGGGCGAAAGCCUGAUCCAGCCAUGCCGCGUGUGUGAAGAAGGUCUUCGGAUUGUAAAGCACUUUAAGUUGGGAGGAAGGGCAGUAAGUUAAUACCUUGCUGUUUUGACGUUACCAACAGAAUAAGCACCGGCUAACUUCGUGCCAGCCGCCGCCGUAA